rnacentral:rRNA from 1 species
UACGUAGGUGGCAAGCGUUGUCCGGAUUUACUGGGCGUAAAGGGGAGCGUAGGCGGAUACUUAAGUGGGAUGUGAAAUACCUGGGCUUAACUUGGGUGCUGCAUUCCAAACUGGGUGUCUAGAGUGUUGGAGAGGAAAGUGGAAUUCCUAGUGUAGCGGUGAAAUGCGUAGAGAUUAGGAAGAACACCAGUGGCGAAGGCGACUUUCUGGACAAUAACUGACGCUGAGGCUCGAAAGCGUGGGGAGCAAACAGG